CUUGCUCAAACGGGGUGCGCCCAGGCGCUGAGAUGAUACCCGUGAACCUGAUCCAGAUAAUGCUGGCGGAGGAAUUUGAGGCACGAGACGC
rnacentral:ncRNA from 2 species